rnacentral:rRNA from 1 species
CACCGCGGUUACACGAGGGACCCUAGUUGAUAGAACACGGCGUAAAGCGUGGUUAAGAUAUGAUUACACUAAAGUCGAAUGCCCUCAAAGCUGUUAUACGUACUCGAAGGAAAGAAGCUCAUUAACGAAAGUGACUUUAACACCUCUGACCCCACGAAAGCUAGGAAA